AAUGGAGAAAAUAUGAGAAGUAUGCAAAAGUUUAUCUCAGACUAUUUCUAUGCUUCAAUAAGUGCUCAAAAAUGUGCUGCGUUAGACACCAAAGUCAAUACAGAUAUUCAGUGUUUUUGGCAUUUGAUUAGAUAUCCAUUUGCUCCCUAUUUUCCUUUUAAGAAGGAAUAGAAAUACCCACUGAAUAGCUAUUCAAAACUCCAAGUCCAUUAAAUAGGCUGAGUUGACAACCGAAGCGUAUAUCUGAAGACUUAAAUAAGACCACAGGUAGUGUUUUGUCCAGAAAUAAUCAAGCUAGCAAGUUUGAUGAUUCAGAAAAAAAGAAUGAAUAUUAAUCAUAAUUUUGAAUAUUUUGUAUUAUGUACUUGGAUCUUUUUGGUACGAUUUCAAUUUACACUUUACAUUUUGAGUGCUGAAAAAUGAUUAAGACAAACGAUAAAUGAUACACUGGAAAUUAAACAUACUAUUCCAAUGUCUUAGAAAGUGGGCAACACUUUCUAUGCUGUAGUUAUGUAAAAGGCUAAGCCUGUUAGUGAACUUUCUGUUGGAAAAAAGAUCUAAUUUUCUAAGUUGUCAUUCUGACUAAUCGCAACAGCACUCUCCUCACGGACAAAGGGUUCUGAUUAAGAAAUAUGAAGUUCUGACUACACGUCCAAAUGUUAAAUGAAACGUUUGCAAUGAACAUGUUGCAUUCAAAUAAGAAAUAUUAAAAAAAAAAAAAAAAAAGAACAAAAUCCACCUAAAUGAGAUUUUUUUUUUUUUUAUUUACAUUCAGGAUAUAUUGGAAUUUUUUGCCUAAGAUUCUGCAUAUACUUUUUAUAUAUAGACAUGCUAUGUGUAGAUGUGCAUCCUACAGAAUAGCCAUCAUCAUGUAGGAAGAAUGAAUAGCUUGACCUUCAGUUAAGCUACAGUCUUUGAUUUCAGAGUUCCAGGUCAGGCUGGUAUCAGAUUCUCCGUGAAAGAUCGUUGGUUACUUGAGGAUACGUGGGGUUAUCAGAGAACGAAAAAAUGUUUGAAACCUUAAAAUAAUUUCCUGAUAGGAAAAAAAAGGUAUUUCACCCUCUCUUCCUUACAUAACAGCCGGUUUGCAAAGGACUAAAAGAAGGCUUUAUGAAACUGCUGUAGCCAUCUUUUUCCUAUUGGUGAGCAGAGACUUGAACAAUUUGUUGAAGUCUAUGAGAAACAAAUGGGUAAUAAGGAUUUCACAGCCAGGUCAUUUUUUAUUUAUUCUGUUCUACAGCACCGCAUGCAGAGUCGCGAAGUGCUAACCUAGCUAUUCUCAGAAGUUGUUCAAAAUCCGAUGGACUAAAAAUAUUCCGUCUGCCAAGCACUCAAGGUGAUUUGAAAAGGCUCGGAUGCUUUUGCUUUGGGCCACAGGCUGCAGAUAAAUUAAGAGGCGUCAGGGCUUUUUUAAUUUAAAUCUCUUUCUUCUCCUCCAGCCCUAUUAAUAAUGAACCAAAUCCACAACAGUGAAGGAGAAGCCUGCUUGCUGGCUAACGCUCUGUUUGUAAGAUGGUGUCUGCAUCUCCCCACGGUGCUAAAAUUCAUUUCAAGUUACACUUUAGUAAUUGAUGAUCACUUGCUGUAUCCCCUUAUAAAGCUUUUUUAUCAAUGUCUUUGGCGGCUCAUUUUAUAUCAGCAGCAAAUCAAUGAAAUUUUAAUGGAACAGAGCUCUCUACUUGAGGCUGAAUUAAUGUUGCUUUACCUAUUUCAAUAUCAAGUGAAGUUCUCAAAGUCUGGAAGGAUAACUCUUUCUCUGAUAACUCCAGACUGACAGAAUAAAGCUGGUGAAGUAGGAAAUGCAAGUAGGAAAUGCAUGACAGCACGCUGAAUUGCCUUGGCUUAUGGGUCUCCAUCCACUGAAGAGGACUUGCCCAGUUUGGACUGUAGAAAUGGGGAGGACAGUAAGGAAGCACGCUGCCAUGCUGCCUUUAAAGCUGAAGGAAAGAGCCCGUUCUCCAGCAACAUUCAGUGUUAGGUGAGGUGUGUCUUUUGUUUUUACUCUUGAUUUAGCUUCCCACCGUUGCCAAGGUAGUUGUGCUGCUGUUUAGGAAAGCUAUUGCGUGGUGUUUGAAACAAGAAAACCCAUGUGUUGCGUGCUUGUUGGUUUUAACUGCUUGGUGGGGAUUUGUUCAAGAGUGAACUUUAGCUUAUUCGUAGAAUCAUGGAAGGUUGGAAAAGACCAUUAAGAUCAUCAAAUCCAACCAUUCACCCAUCACUACCAUGCCAACUAAGCCAUGUUGUUUGUGCACAUUGAUGGCAUCUAUGGAAUUUCUCCUUCCUUAAGCAAAAGUGAUUGCAAGCUGCCCCCAGAGCUGCUUCUGGAGAGCCAUGGAAGCCCCUUCAAAAGUCAGCUUGCCUAUUUUUUGGUGAAGAUCCUGGAGAAUUUUGCCUUCUUUAAGUUUAAUGUUUUGUAGUGACUGCUGUUGCAUGUCUGAUAAAACAUAGCUGCUAUGAUUUCUGUAACAGUUGCAGAUACAACUGAGAAAGUAUUAGAAGAGAUAGUUAAAAAAAAAAAAAAAAUGUCAAUUUCUAACCAAAGAAGGUAAGGAAACAAUUUGUCACCAUUGACAACAGGAAAAUGAAUAAAUAUUGCAAUAGAUAUAUAUCUACUCAACAAAUUUAUAUUAGUAUCAGAGCGACAUCCUGUCUCAGGAAGGGUAGUAGACCAAUGUUAUUAACUUCCUUGAUGGAGAUCUUUCAUUUCAGGCCGUGAAUUUGUGGUGUGACAUCACUGUCUUCUUUGUAGUUUUGCUUGUGAUCUUCUAUUUCCUAAAGAAGUAUGCAAAUUAUUACAUUAUACUGUGUUUUAAAGUAUUAAAUGGUUGUAAUUUUCAUAUUUGCAUGUUCUGAGCUGGGCUUCUGAAUUCACCUUUUGGCACUGAGAUAGAAGUGACUAAGCUGAGAAGUCUUGGAUAUUCUAUGUAAAUUAAUGCAUAGAGUAGAUAUCUGUCAUUCUGGGAAAGUUAGGAUACAGUGUAGUUGCAAAGACUCAGAAAAUGUGGAGCGUAUGUUGAGUCACGUAAAGCUUGGGCAUUUAUUGUUAAUUUUUUUAUACACACAUCAUGAGAGUCCCUCAUCAGUAGUAAUUGUAAGGCUUUAAAAGGGACAAGUGGAUCAUAUUUUCUGGAAGAACUUAACAGCGAAUUGUAGCAAAACAGCCUAUGAAAUGUUUCAGGGUCCAUGCUCAUUUCUUCUUCAGUUUGCUGACUGCAGGAUCCUCUGCUUCUUUUUAAAGACCUCUGUCAUCCCUUUCUGGACUCUCCCGCUUUUUUGCUUUUCUUUUCUUUUUUCGAUCUCUUUUAUCCCCUCCCCCCCUAGCUUAAAAAGCAGAAGUGUUUGCCAGUAAGUUGUAGUCACUUGAGUGCACUGUUAACAUGUGCUUGAAACCUCUGACAACCACGCCAGAAUUGUUCAGAACUCUUUAUUGUAGAAAAAGUAGGGAAGAAAAACACUCAGACAAACAAUUUAAUUAAGCAAAGGAAAGCAAUUUCAGGCGAGCUGAAUUCUUUGUUUUUAUACUGAAUAGUACUGAACUCUUGAAAUUUAAGAAUAGCUCUAUGUUUCCUCUUCUGCUGUCCUCUAAGGCUCUCAUAAGCUCUUGAUAAGAACUAGUUCUGAACUGAGUGCUAUAAUAAUGCUCUUCCAGUGCCCACCUGACCCAAAACUCCUGGAAGUCUGUGCAUGUCUUCUUUUAAUUUUCCAAUGUAUUCAAUGUCUGCUAGAACAAGAUGCAUAAAGGAUGAGGAACAAGAUCUUUCUGUGAAUAAAUCUGAUGAACCCCAAGGACUUGAAUUCCUUGAAAAAAUUUCAGAGGAGUGUCUGAACACCUGUGCUUCCUAUUAAAUCUUACGAAUGUUCUGAGAAUCUGAGCCAAUCUGUAAUGAUACUGUCCUUAUGUAUUUUCUAAUCUGUCCUGCUACUCUGGAUGAUAAGCCCUCUAAUAACUCUUUGGAGUACAUCAAAAUGUCAUUUUGUGCAGAAUGCCUGCUCUUUUCCCUCUAGAUCCUAGCUUAAAAAUGAGUGUUGUGUCACAGAAGAUCAUUUUGGAUUACAGAACAACUUCUCAAAAUGUCAGCAGUAAAUAGUCUGCAAAUCCCUCAUUAUCAAUAAUACAGCACUGAUAUUCAGUAAAAAGCCAUUUUGUAAAACUUUCAAGUCUGUAUCCUAACAAACCUUUUAGCUAGUAGCAAUCCCCCCAGCAUCAAGCAGGUUUAAUGCAAAAGAGAUCUGUUGUUUUUUUCCCUAGAGAACUCAAGUGAAGGUUUUAUAAACUUUUGGACAAGGGACUUGGAUUUCAAUACUGUUUUAAAUGAAACCAUUUAAGGAUGUUUUUAGUUCUUCAUCUUUACUCAUUGUAAGAAAUAAUAAUAAUAAAAAAUCCAUCAGUACGUGCUCAGAAACUAUUUUUUUUAUAAGAGUACAUUACUGUUUAUGAAAUUAUUUUUGUGCACUCAAUACUGACUUGGAUGUCACUAAAUUAAUGUUGUUGAGAGUGUGAGUCUCUGACUUGUGUUUGGUUUCCUUAUUCAUUUACACACCUUUCUUAAAAGCUUUCUUUCUUGUAUGAAGUAAAAGAGUCAGCGUUCUAAUGUUACUUGUGUGGAAACUGUAAUGCAAUAGGUAUAAAGCUAUUAUUUUUUCCAUGCGUAUCAACUUGAAAACUCUCACUGAUUGCAUUGGUAGAGAGUUAGGUCUGUAUGAGGAGCAGAGAAGAAAGGUCAGUGGGAAAAAAAUACAAUGAAAUCUUAAACCUUCAGAAAAAAAUGUGGUGAUGUUCAAAACAGUGAACGUGGUGAUAAGCACUGGUAUUAGGUUGAAGACUUCAAGAUUCUUUAUCUGCAUUGCUGGGCUUCCAGCACCAUGUUACUGUACAUUUCGCCUUGUUUAUGUAGAUUUUAAGGCUGGGAGGAUGAACUUGACUCUGUUUUUGACUUACCUGAAGAGGUUUUCUGACAGGAAAACUGUUAGGUAGCUGUGUACUGGGAACCCUUUUAAUAUAGAACCGUUCAUCUUAUAUUAACUUCUGUAAGCCAUCAGCCUGAAAUGAGCUGUCCUUGAACAAAUGAGUCACAAGGGCUGGUCUAGAUAUCUGAUUGCCAGCUGCUAGCCAGUCAAUCGUAUAUGAAGUGUUAGGAGAGCUCAUAAAACAUAGCUCACAAAAAAUUAAGCUCGCUAAGAGACAAGUGCAUCUGUACAUUUCUUUCUAAAAGAAUAACAAUGAAAAUUAUGUUGAAAAUGCAUCUGUUACACCUUAGAUAUCACUGCUGACAAACAUUCUUUCAGUAGCAUGCAAUGCUAGACCUUAAAAUAAAGAUGUUUCUGAAAGGAAAAAGCUAUUUUUUUAAAUCAAACUUGGCUAGCUUUGACUUCCAGAAAUGAUUCAGUAAAACAUACUGUCACAAAUAUAUGUCAAAGUCAUUGUCAAAUACCAAACUAUUUUAAAACCAGAUUGAUGAAUAGUAGUAGCUAAGCUUCAAACACAUGUUCAUUUUUAUAGUUAUUACUCAUAUGCUUGUGACCUCUAGUUAACUUCACUGGAGCCUGGAAUGCCUGCACAGAUUUUCUUUGUCACACUUCUGGUUCUCAAAAGUAUUUUAUGAUCCUUCCUCCAGCUUCUUUCCUCUUCUAAACUGCUCGUCGUGGGCAAUUAUUGAACUAUCGGGAUGUUGACAGGUAGCGGACUGUGAUUGGGCAGCUGCCACUGCAGCAGGAGUUGUGUGCACAGCACAGUUGAAUCUUGAAGCACAUUUGAGCAGGAGUACAGAUUGUAAUGGUACGUACUGCAGGGGUUUGCCUCGUUUAACACCUGAGAAGAAUUGGAAACAGCUGGAGCUGCAUUUUCUUGAACAACUCCAUCCAAAAGGGAGACAGAGUGCGAGCUCCAGAGAAUAAUCUAGACCAACUUAAAAAUGAAGGAAGCAGGAUGUUGUUAUAAAAAAUAAUGUUCAUGGGGCUGGAAGGUUAGAUGGUCACAACAGCCUCUGUGAAGUAAAAACAAAUUAAUGUACAUCAAACCCUUUCAUAUUCUAUGCCUUGGGUAUUAUGAUUGUAAAGAAUGUAAUCCUUAGCUUCAAUUCAUCCACUGCAGAGGAAUUUAGACCCUUUUCUUCCUUUGACAUUCCCUAUUCCUCUUGUUCUGCCAAAGUUCAGUCCUAUUCAGAAGACGAGCGUGCAGCUAGCAUAGUUUUGAAAAAGUACUGUUUCAAAACUCCUGAGUGCUGCAGAAAAGGACUUAAUAUACUGUGGAAACUGUGUUUCCACAACCUGUAGAAGCAUACAUCUGCACGUAGACUGGCAAUAAAAGUUUGAAAAAAUAUAUUUGCUUCGUGGUAGACUGCGUUCCAGUGAAGGUCCACCACAGCCAUAAAUUAAUGAUGGAGUACCUUCAAGCCGAACAGGAAAUAAUGUAAUACAGUCUUAGGUGACAAUAGUUUGCCUUACUGUAAUGUUACACAGAUAGCACAGCAACUUUUGUGGCAAUGUACGUGCUGCCCAAGGAAGAGAAAACCUCAUGAAAACAGAUGUAAAAAGAAGGCCUUCAGAAAACUAACUCUAUCAGAAGGUCAGCUCAGUUAACUUCCUUUUGAACCUGGUAUACAGAUUGUGAAAAUAGGAUUAUAGUCUGAACAGUCUUAUUCACACAGAUGUGUAUGACCUCUUGCACUCUGAGCAUUCAUGCAGCAAGCAGGUGGGAACGUAUUUGUCCUGUACUCCGAGACCUGGAGGCAGCAAGGGUAAUGCUGAGUCAGACACAUAAGUCCUGAAACGAGUAUAUGUUAACUCAGAUCUGACAUUCUGCAAAUCAUUAAGCAAAGCUCAUUAUUUUGGAUGCUUAGUGUGAUGAUCACUUGUAAUUCUAGCACCAACAAACUCCUGACGGGCCAAACGUCUGUGAAGGAACAAAGAGGAAAGUGAUCUUGUCAGAGUAGUUCCAUUUUACUAUCAUCACUUUCUCUUUUAAUGUACAUUAAUAUGCUAUGCUACUUUGUUUUGUUCAACUCAGAGAAUUCAACAGUGAUACUUAUUCUCAAAUCUCUGUCACCUGAUUUCUUGCAGGCUUUAGCCUUCUGAAAAAAUGGUUGUGUGUCACAAUAUUUAUUCAGUUGUUCAAGAGUUUUACUCACUAGGACAAGGUUCUUGAGUUGGGAUUGUCCUGCUCACACAGUCCUGGCAGUUUGGUAAGCUGCCGCUUCUAAAUUGGUAUUUUAUUGAACCUGGCUGAUGGGUGAACUUCUUCCCCACCUGUUCAUGGUAUAAAUAGAUCUUCCAGAACUAUAGUGACCAAGACUCCUUGCAACUUGCUUUAUUAUGUCAUCGUAUGAGAUAGGGAUCCCCUGCUGGCGUAUGCUGUCAAAAUUUGUCAAGUGUGCAUAACUCAAUGUGUAAUUAAACAUGAUCAGGUACAUUGCAUUCUGUUUUUUUCUGAACAUUCGCAAUUUAACCCCUGUCAGAGUUUGGCAGACACAUGACUGAAAAUGUUUUAGAUGAUGCUGAAGUUGGAGCAGGCACAGAAAGUCUUCCUUAGCUGGCGUGUUGCUGAGAAAGGUCUGAGUACUGAAAUGUCAGUGAAUUCAUUCUCUUAUUUGCUUUUCUACUAUGGGAGAUAAGUAGCUAGCACAUUAUUUUAAAAUAAGUACGUUAAUAGUAUUUUAUACUUUGUUGUGCAUGUGGUGUUCCGUGUUUGAAAUUAAAGCCAGAGAAUAAUAGAAAAAUUGACUUGUUUUGUAGAUGCAGCAUCUUUUCAUGAGCUAGAAUGAUUACAUCCACUUCCAAGAAGUGUAAGAACAGAGAGGGCUGAUCUUGGCAGACAGCGUUCAUAUGAUUUCUAUCUCAGUGCCUAUUUCAAAAACAGCCUUUGGUCGGGAGCAUACCACAGCCCAGCUUUUCAAAUGUGCUGAGUUGUUUUGCAUUGCCUUGUUUUGUUAGUUGGAGGCGUUUUGUAAGGUUUUGUAUUUCCUAGUGUUUUGUAGAACAGAUUCUUUCGAAGGAACUCAGGUGAAAAAUUGAGGUAUCUGAAAUCAUUAGUUGCUUUUGAACAAUCUUUCUUUCCUUGUUAUUUGAUCAAAUGCUUCUCAGCAAUUCCUGAUUAGAGCUUCUGAGGGAAAUUAAGGUCCAGAAUAUGAAGAUCAACAAGAAUGCUCAGCUGAUGGUCUCAGUUUUAAUGGAUAAUUUUACUGUAUUUAAAUAUGGCACACAAAUGAAAAUACCUUGGCCAGCUUAAUCAAAUAGAUGAUUUUUGAGAGAGCCUGGCUCCUGUCUGGCUCAGCACCAUCUUUUUGAGAAGAUACAGGGAUGUGCUGCCAAAAUAGUAAAUUCUGCUCCUGGUCCAACGAUGCAUAUAGAAGAGGCUGUUUAUGCAGGAUCAGAUAUGCAUUUGCCCACGGAAUAAAUAAAUGCUAAGAAAUACAUCAGCCCUGUUAGCUGACUUACCCUCAACUGGUUGUGGAAUAACUGGAGAAUGAGUGUGCCUAGAGCAUUGGUCUGCAGGUGAGAGGCACGAUGAGCACUGUUUUGCCCCACUUCAUUAGUAUACCUAUUGGCAGUAUCUACUCCCUUUAGUCUGGGCAUUCCAUAGGAAGCACUGGUACAAUGUAGAGACUUGCAGACUGAGAUGAAGUGGAAAGAAAAUCAAUCCCUGCUAGAAAAUCACUAGGCGGUAAUUCAUCCAGGAGUCAGGCUAAAGUUCCUGUCUGCUUUUCAUGAUUUGCUGCUUCUGCUUCUCCUCUCCUACAUUAUCACUGCAAAGAGGUCUCCUUUUAACUGUGUAAACUUUCAAGGUCUACAGAGAAGUUUUAUUAGGAAAACUUUCUUUUUUCUUUGUCAAGUCCAAGAGGGACAGAAAAUAUUACUUAUAUUACUUAUAUUACACCUUUUGAAUAUUUCACUAAAAAUUUGGAUGAGAAAGAGUUUCACAAUUCUGACUAUUGAAAAUAAUCAUGAAGACCAUUGAGAGGAGUGAUUAGCAAAGCAAGGGAGGUGAUUGUCCCUCUUUUCCUCUGUGCUUAUGAGUCCCCAUCUGGAGGAUUGCAUCCAGGCCUGGGGCCCCCAGCACAGAAGGGUUGUGGAGCUGUUGGGCUGGGUCCAGAGGAGAGAUACAGAGACGAUCAAUGGGCCGGAUCACCUCUUGUACAAAGAAAGGUUACAGGAGCUGGGGUUGUUUAGCUUGGAGAAGAGACUUCAUUGUGGCCUUCCAGUACUUGAAGGGAGCUUAUAAGCAAGAGAGGUACUGACUUUUUACAUGGUUUGAUAGUGAUAGGACAAGGUGUGAUGACUUUAAACUGAAAGAGGGGAGAUUUAGGUUAGAUGUAAGGAAGAAAUCUUUACUUAGAGGGCGGUGAGGCACUGGUGUAGGCUGCUCACAGAUUUUGUGGGUGUCCCAUCCCUGGAGGUGUUUAAGGAUGGGGCACCUGAUCUGGUGGGUGGCAACCCUACUUACAGCAGAGGGCUGGAACUAGAUGAUCUUUCCAGUCCCUUCCAACCUAAGCCAUUCUAUGGCUCUAUGAUUCUGUGAGAGCUGUCUUAAUACUUGAAUUUCAAUCUCUGCUAUCAAGUUCCUGCUUUAACAAUUAGCAGGCUUUUGAGUAUUUAGGAUAAAAGUUUUUCUUCCUCCCCUCUCUUCCAUUUCUUUACUUCUGUAUUAAGACAAGCUGAAUGUAUGUAAUCUAACUCUAAACUCAGCUUUCUGGCUGAGAUAUUAACAGUAGAUGAAGAAAACAGAUAGAUCUGUUGUUUGUGUUUCUGUGUUGUGGUUUUUGUUUCUUUUUUUCCCUUGAUGUAUUUUCUUCCACAGCCUUGAGCAAGAGAUUCCUAACUGAGAAAGACUGGGUUCAUUAAGUUAAUGAAGGAGCUAACUGGAGGAUGCUUAGCAAUACAGGGAGAAGAAAGUGCAUCUAUCUUGUAUUAUUAAGAUUUAUCAUGUGAUCAGAAGGCAGUUGUAUACAUUUGUGUGAUUGUUUACAUGUCUCAAGUGAGUAAUUACAGGGAUAGGGAAAACAAAAAGCUAUCUUAAAUGUGGGGAAUGUGUUCUUGUGAUACAGCACAGCACGGCCAAGGCUAAAUUACAGACAUAAUGGCUUAAAUAGUAUAGUCUUAUUAGUCACAUUCACCAAAUGCGAAAACGACACUGUUGUUCCCCAAAUACCUUUGGAGACAAAUUAUGGACAGUAUUGGCAUUUCCAUAAGAAAUGGACAGUAAAAAGUGUUUUGUUUUUCCUUUGGUAAGUAAUUAAAGAUGGACAAACCAUCAGUAGCACUUGAUUUCAUGGCUCUCGGAUGUAUGAUGUGAAUGUUCAUUGUGAAUCAGUACUUUGAAAAAGAUGCCUAGUGAAUACUUCUGUGUUUGGUUGGUGGGUUUGUUUACUACAUUCGCCUACAAAGCACUACACAGAUUUAAACUAUUAAUUUUGACUAUCAGGAAAUGUUUGAAUAAAACUCAACUUCUUUAAAUGGUUAAGAAGAAAGCUUAAAAAAAAAAAAAGGAAGUCAGUAAGCUUCUAAUGGGAAGAAUUUUUAUUGAGUAGUGACUUCUCUGUUAAUCAAAGAUUACUGAUACCUACCAUUCUCACUGUAAAACUAUCAAUGGCUACAGUCUUUGCAGUUUAAAGGUACAAGAGAAUGUAGACUCAAUGCAGAAAAGAGGUGAUGAAUACAACUGAAGAACUUAAGGGACCAUCUGGGCUUUUUAUUGACUGCAAAACUGGAAAUACUAAUAUUUUUUGGUACUUCAUUCCAUAAAAGACACAAAACUAUGCAUGUAAGUAAUAGAAAUGUAGCAGAAGAGAAACCUCUUUAUCUAGCUCAUCACCUUUCAGUGACAUAAGCUUAAUAGCAGAUGUUCAUCCUUUAUUCUCUAAGCAUUUUCUAAAUACUUCCCUGCCCAUUCUGAUGAUGAACACAGAACGCCUCUGAAUUAGAUAUUUGUUUAUUAUUUAUCACUGGAGUAUUUUUACCAACCUUGAUGUUAGAGAGCUGUUGUCAUGUUACCUGUGGGAUUUCUCUUUUCUAGACUAACCCUCAUGAAUUCCUGCAGCUUUGCCUUUUAGGUCAUAUUUUUAAAACCUGUUACUACAGGUUUUCUUUUUUAUGUUCUCUUAAGAACUCUGUGAUUGCUUUUGUCUGCUUUAAGCAGACUGGCCAAGCUGCAGUCAGUGUUCUGGCUGAGCUCUCACCGGGAACACACAAAGCAAACCAAUUUGCUUCAUUUCAGAUUCACAAUAUUCCUGCUAGUACAGUCCUUAAUAAUUUUCCUGCAUUGUUGGCUCUUACUUAGGUUUAGUCUUGACAGCCAGAUUCUGUCCUGACGUAUACUGAUUGAUUGUUUCCCUUUGAAUUAUGCUCUUUAUUUCCCCUCCUUAUGGACACAUUUAUAAGGCAUAAAUGUCUUAGGGACAUUUCUCCUCCUUAUGCCUGGUCUUCAGUGCAUGCAUCUUCAAAUUAGUUCCUCUCGUCCAAAAUGCAUAAUAAAUCUCUCAAUAUGAUGCUUUGAUUGCAUUAUUUAUUUCAUUAGUCAAAUAAUUUACAGAGAUUAUGAUUAAAACAGUUAAAAAAAAAAGAAAAAGGAAAUAAAGAACAAUUUCAGGUCAGACCUCUGGAAGACAUCACUUAAAGUCUCUUAGUCUGAUAACAAGAAAUAGUUAACUUAGGAAAUUUUGAUUGCAAUUCUGCAAGUCCUUUCAGUUCACUGUACUUUUACAGUACCAAAUGCCUCACAAAGGCCAAAGUUCGUCAUGUCUGUUGCUUAAACCAGUUAAGUCAGCUAGAAGGGUUGCUGUAGUCAGGUAUUUUUGAUAAAACCAGGCAUCGUGAAGAGUAUGAUGUUACUAUAGCUAUUUUAAGAAUACUUAGCAACCCAUCAGGUUUUGAAUAAGACUAAGUGGCCUGUGAUUCUCAGGUAUUCCUUUUACUGCUUAAAGUUGGUACUGUUUUCUCCUUCUUCAUUUGCAAACCAAGUGAAACUCUUCUCUAAAGAUCACUGUAACUAAAGAUAAAGUUUUCAACUUCAGCUAUAAGUGCAUACACCUGUGUUUCUGGGGGAGUUCCUUCCAGCUGUAGUUUUAUUCACCAUGCAGGCCCACUGAAUUUCUCAUCUAGCUGUGACUAGUUAGGUAUGCAUGCAUUCAGUCUCUUGCAGAAGCAUUUGUAUGAAAGAACUGAUUUCAGAAAAAAAUCAGCAGAGGGUCCAAAAAGUGUUAUAAAUUUAUCAAAAGAUCUGCCAUGGUUCCAAAAUCUCUUUUUGAAACAUAUUUCUAAAGAACUCUUACUGGAGAUGGAAAUUUAGUUAUACCCUGACAAAUGGGUAGUUUACUUGCUAAGGUUCCAUAAAUAAGGUUUCUGUAAAUAGAUGUAAGUGAAUAUGCAAGGUAUGGAAUGUAGAAUAUUUCCUUACCUGCUACAACCUAAAAUUACUCAGGAAAUGAACAAAAGCUUCCUCAAAACAAACAAACAAAGAAACCAAACAAAACCCAUGAGCUAUGACUACCAGCUACCAAGUGAUCCUUUCCAAGAUGAGAGAGUACAGAAUAUUUUGGAAGCCCUUACUGCAUGAAAGCCACAGUAGCAGCCUGGAUUAUAUAAUUUGGUCAUUGUCACUGAAUUUGUGCAAGCACGUAAAGUGGCAGCAAAGUCAGAAUCACAGAAGAAAAUGCUUAGGUCAACUCAAAGACCAAUUGAAAACGGGAUAUCUAAUGCAUGCUAAAAUUAUGGGUAAUGCCAGGUCAUAUUAUUACUUUAGAAUAGUGGGAAAGUAUGCACUUAAUGAGCUCUACUAAGAGCUGUGUGGCUUGAUUAUUGCAGGUGAAAUAGUUCAGCUGCUAACAAAUGGUGCAGACCUUUUUCAAAGGUCUUUUCCCUGGCCUUCCCUCCGCUCCUGCCUUCCUCAAGGUGUUUCUGAGCACUGCCUUACUUCUAGUGAGAAUCCUCAUGGCAGGCUGAUGCUGGUACAAGGUUAGACAGAAGACUCUAAGGUCAGGAUUGAUUUUGAAAUAAGUAAUUUCAAUGACUAUUAAGGUAAUCAAUACACAGCUUGGAGCAAGACAUCUAAAAGUAGCCAAUACUCUCUUCCACAUCAAGAAUUCAUCUGGAAUCUUACAAGACUGUUUUGCAGAUUCUCAUAAUGAGAAGUCAGACCUUCAGUGCAAGUUGCCUCAUUCCUCUAGAGUAAGUUGAUUUGUAUCAGUGUACACCAGCAGAAGAUUUAUACCAUGGUGCCAUGGAAAUGCUAAGUCGUAGCCUGAAGCAGUGAUUGCACACCUGGUGGGAAGGCAGGGCCAACCCAGGGGAGCUCAGGUGAACACAAUGCAGCUGAUUAGAAGGGCUGGAGCGGGGAUCCACCCUUUCCCAGACCUCAUGUAAGGGUGGCAGUGGAGGGGGAGCCUCUCUUGUUGGAGAUUCCUGCCUAUCUGAAGAUGUUACAGGCCUUCCAAAGCUCCCACUUCUCUUUGUUGGCAUUGUCAACAAAAAUAAUGAAAAGUUACUUCAGCAGUGAGAUUUGUCCAAGAAAUAUGGAGAGGAGUAAUCACCAAGUAGGGAAGCAGGGCAAGGCUGAGGAGGAAUUGGGCACAGCAAGGUGCAGAGACACUGACUGCCUCAGCCAAUGGAAUCAAUAUCAGAUGCAGAAAGGACAAGACAAUGGAAUUAAAACAUUCAAAAUUCUUUUCAGCACUUCCAGAUGCCGAUAGCAGAGACGUACUGACAUGAAAACCUCAACAAAAAAGUUGUAUCUACCCCAUCUACCUCUGUGAUGACAGAAUCACAGAAUGGCUUGUGUUGGAAGGAACCUCAAGGAUCAUGAAGCUCCAACCCCCUCGCCACAAGCAGGGCCACCAACCUCUGCAUUUAAUCCCAGACCAGACCACAUUUAAUGCCCAGGGCCCCAUCCAACCUGACGUUGAACAUCUCCAGGAAUGAGGCAUCCACAACCUCUUUGUGCAGCUGUUCCAGCACCUCACCACUCUCAUAGUAAAGAAAUUACAGAUUAUGAAGUAGUGGUUCCUGUGUGUAUCUGCUGUGCUGACCUCACCUAUAAAUGACUCUGCAGUGGAAAAGAUUCUUCUGUUCCCAAAAAUAUAAAUUACUCUUUAGACUAGGUUUUGCAUUCAAGCUAAUACAAUGGUGUUACUCAUAAGAGUGAAAUUAUUUGUGUUCAUACACGUUCCUAGAAUUAAUAUGUAACAUCUCAAAUCAGAUCUAACAGGAUGAAAAUGCGGAAUUUUGGGGGUCCAAUUUUGAGUAUGUAUCAAUCACAAAUUAUGAUUCUGGAAAAAAAAGUAGUUGUAACUAUGAGGUUAAUUAUAGUAACUAUGAGGUAGAUUACAUGCAGUCAUCAAAUAACAGUUUUGUUACGCAAUGAGUAUCUGUCUUUGCAGUUAUAACACUGCAUCAUUUCUUAAAGUUAGUAUUAUCUUGUAACUUCACGUUGUGUUUUAAUUGCCUACUUGAAUUUGCUGUGCUUUAGUAGUGAAGACUUGCUGAUUAGUAUAUUAAUUGUUUUUAAGUGUUAAUGUAAUGCUUGGGACUUAUUUAACUUGGAUAAAUUGUGGGAUCUUUUUUUCUCUUUUCCUUGUUUUCUUUAAGAUCUCAGCACAUAUAUCGGUCGAAUCUCCCUAUGAACUCAAAUACCUGCUCUUAGAUAAUGGCUAUUAGACUUACGCUGUAAAGCUAAUCGCAGCAGGUGCCAUCACAGGACAGUGGGACAGUAGUGAACAUCCUUCCUAGUCAGUGGUCUCUGAUGUCAGACCCAGACUUUAUCCUUCUUCUACUGUGCUUUUUCAGGUGAUGUUUAAAGCCUGAUUUGGCUGAUUAGUGCCAAUGUAGUUGAUUAAAGUUGCUUAUUGUUUUAGUCUGUCAGCAGUGUGAAUGUCAUGCAUCUGCUUAGGUAGGAGUAGUGGUGAAUUGAAAGGUAAGAGCUAUGUCUGAUUUCCAAUAUGAGCUGUUUUAGCCAACCCCCAUCUGAUGGGAAGCCUGUACCACUACAGGACUCAAGCUGUGCCUUUGUACUGAUCUGCUGCUCCUCAAUUCAAGAAAUACUGCCUCAAAAUAAAGCUGUUUGUCUUAUGUCAAGAGAUGAUUUCAUAUGCUCUCAGUGGUAGCUUAAGGAGAACUUUAAUCACUGCUCUAUACUAGGUUUUCAUGUGUUUUGCUUUGAUUGCUUUUAUAUACAUACAUUAGUGAAAUGGGGCAGGAACAGAGGAAGUUUUUGUUACAUUCUGACGGUCUUUGACAGGUCCUGGAUGUAUUGGGACUGUCUCCUCAACCAAGGCAGAACCCGAGUUACACAAAGGAAAGCUGUAUUGGACAAUUGGUCUUCCAGCUGAAGAAGCCAUGCAGAAGCACAUGAUAUCAUGAACAUUAUUAUUAUUUCCCAGAAACUACUGAAAAAAGCAGUUAGUUUUGUCACAGACAUAAAUGUUCUGCUUGGUGUCAGUGCAACCUCCAUUGUUUGCAAAGGUGGUUACCUUGUGUGUGCAGAAGUCCUGCCCGCUACCAUUAGCCAUACCGUUAGCUGUUACAGGAGGCUCUGCUGGUCAGUCAUGGUGACCCAGUCUGGCCAUUUCUGAUAUUUAAUGUAAUUCUCAAGUUGUUGUAAAACUCCAUAAGAAAAAGCCAUGCUAUAAUGAACAGACGGAAAUAAAGCUUCCCUUGUCUAAUAGUGUUAAAAUAUAUAUAUGUAUCUGAAGAAGUAAGGAAAGUGUUUGUCAUCAGAAGUUUUUCAUAAGACUUUUCAUGAUCAUUGCAUUCAGUGUUCAUUUAUCAUUUAGAGAAAAAAAAAUUCAGUAAUUAUUUUCAACCAAUAUAGGAAGAGAUUGAGAGCAAAUAUUAAGAUCAUUUGAGAGGACAAUUGAGGAUUUUAUUAUUAUUAUUUAGUAUUUCUCACAGUGCCUCUUAUUGCUAUCAUGUCUGGUCUUCUUUUUCUACGCUUAAAUAUUCAACACCUCUGUUGUUUUGGCAUCAACAACUGACUCUGUCAGUGUACAUAAGAAGCCUCUGAUCUCUUAUGCUACCUAUGCAGAUUCUGAAUCCUGAGCCAAAACUUGGUCAAGUCAGAGGGGGGGUGUUCAUACAGAGUCCUAGAAAAAUCGUUAUGGGGAACAUCUAGUAUAUCUCAAAUCGUGUAGAGGAAUCUGCUGAAACAAAGCAUGCUGGUACCUAGCUUAACUUGUACUUGUUAAUUAUUAGUGAUUAAUUUUUAAUAGCUAUAUUUUAUAGCUUGUGGUUGGUUAUGCCCCAAGGUAAUGACUUCUUGUGUCUCAUAUUCUGUUAUUUGAAGGACAUCAUUCAAUAUAGCAUCUACACAGCUUUGUUAAAAGCAUUUAGAUCUAAAUUUUCUGCAGCAAAGACACAUUUAUUAAAUAGUCCAUAUGUUUAUUACUGUUCACAAUGAUCAAAUCCUGGGAAAACAUUGCAGAAAGAAAAUAUCUAGCUUCCUACCUUAAUUCCCAUUAUUCUAUUGAUUAGAAAAGUGAAGAUUACAUGUAUUAUCAACUGUAUUAUCAGAUAAUCCAUAAUCAGAUGCCAUUUUAAUGACAGGCAUGUGCUUUUUGUGGUGUUCCCUGGUAAAGCAGUAUGAAGAAUUUAAUGACUUCAUUAAAAGAUACUGCAUAACAAAGAAAGGAAAGCCCAAUGCUAUUUAAUAUUAUCUUUACAAUGUAUUACAUUGUUGAAUUGGAUUUUUUGUUUUGCUUACUUGGUUUUUGCUGUUGUUUUGCAAUUUUAUGUUCUGUAAGUUGAACAAUAAAUGUGUGAUAAGCAAAGGAAAUGUUGAGAUUUUUGCAGAUAUGGGCAAGCAGUGUUAUGACAGGUAUGUUCUGUGUCCUUAAAGAAACAGCAAGAAUGGUUUGUACCUUAAGAUGAUGAAUCUAUAGCGGACUUUCAAAUUCUUUUAAAAAGCAAAAUAAUAAGGAAGGUUUCACUGUUGCAGAUUGUGCCUGGAAUGUUGGGGCUGGGAGAUGCCACAAAGGAUAUUUUCCUUUUUUUUUUUUUUUUUCCAUUAUUUUAUUUGUUUGUGUGGUAUUUCGGUAUUUUUUUAUUGCCUGUCCAAGCUGACUGUACUAGUACCGCUGUGUUCUCAGAAGUGGAUCUGGAUGAUUCUUUACUUUUUUACUGGAGGUCGGAUUUACUUUUUUUUAGGAAGUCAGAUCCUGUCAUGAAGAUAGACUGGAAGUCAGGACUUUCCUUCUUGUGUCACAGACCUUGUGUGGGCCUAGCCUGGACAGGGUGUUUGAUUCUCACUGCUGCAGUAUUCCGUGUGAAAUUUGAAGUUUUGAUUUAUUCUUUCAAUUUGUUUAAGAAUACAUGUAUUCAUCAUGUAUGAGAUACAGAGAUGUAAUACUAAUGGAUACCUGGAUACAGUCCAUUGGAACGGUGAGUUUUGUAUCUCAAUUAUUGCAAAGCCUAAAAAUAGUUAAUAUUUGAGAGCAAAAAACAAAAUCGAGAAAACUCUUUGUCUUAAAUCUGCCUAUUCAUGAUUUGUCUAAAAGCACAUUAGUUUUGGGAAACAAAACUGAGAUUGUCUGCUGUUUUAGAACUUAAAAAUCAGUGAAAAUCAGCUGUUAUCAUCUUGACUUGGAACUGAAUUUGCUUUGUAACCUAAAAAGGCUGUAAUUUUGUAAAUAGGUAAUAGUUGUGGUAUUGUUUGUAUCAUUAAUACUGUAUUGCAUGUGUUACGAGUGUUGAUGCUGCUAGAUCUCUCAGUGGCUCAGGUUAGUGAAAGCUAUUUAAAGAAGUCUCUGAUGCAGAGAUGCCAUUACAUUUGAUAUCUUACAUUGUGAUUUACAGGUUUUUAAGGCUUUGUUUGAUGUUGAUUUUGGUUUUUUUUUUUUCAGAGCUCCUCUCCAGUGGUUCUCUGUUUGUUGAUCUGGCAAAGUCAUUUAAAUGAAAGUUCACAGUGCCAGAAUAUGGCUUAGCAAUUCACUGAAGCCACUAGAAUUGGGUUUUAUUUAUUUUAUUGUUUUAUUGCUGUCCUGCUCUGCUUGAAAUUCACCCAUUUAUGUUUAAGUAUGACAACAUAAAGCAAGUAGUAACAACUGUUUCUUUUUUUUUCAUUGAUCUGCGACAAAUUCUUCAGCUUA
rnacentral:lncRNA from 1 species